GGUUAAGUUAGAAAGGGCGCACGGUGAAUGCCUUGGCACUAGGAGCCGAUGAAGGACGGGACUAACACCGAUAUGCUUCGGGGAGCUGUAAGUGAGCUUUGAUCCGGAGAUUUCCGAAUGGGGAAACCCACUGUUCGUAAUGGAACAGUAUCUUUAUCUGAAUACAUAGGAUAUUGAAGGCAGACCCGGGGAACUGAAACAUCUAAGUACCCGGAGGAAGAGAAAGCAAAUGCGAUUUCCUGAGUAGCGGCGAGCGAAACGGAAUUAGCCCAAACCAAGAGGCUUGCCUCUUGGGGUUGUAGGACACUCUAUACGGAGUUACAAAGGAACGAAGUAAAUGAAGCGACCUGGAAAGGUCCGUCGAAGAAGGUAACAACCCUGUAGUUGAAACUUCGUUCCCUCUUGAGUGGAUCCUGAGUACGGCGGAACACGUGAAAUUCCGUCGGAAGCUGGGAGGACCAUCUCCCAAGGCUAAAUACUACCUAGUGACCGAUAGUGAACCAGUACCGUGAGGGAAAGGUGAAAAGCACCCCGGAAGGGGAGUGAAAGAGAUCCUGAAACCGUGUGCCUACAAGUAGUCAGAGCCCGUUAAUGGGUGAUGGCGUGCCUUUUGUAGAAUGAACCGGCGAGUUACGAUCCCAUGCAAGGUUAAGCUGAUAAGGCGGAGCCGUAGCGAAAGCGAGUCUGAAUAGGGCGUUUAGUAUGUGGUUGUAGACCCGAAACCAGGUGAUCUACCCAUGUCCAGGGUGAAGUUCAGGUAACACUGAAUGGAGGCCCGAACCCACGCACGUUGAAAAGUGCGGGGAUGAGGUGUGGGUAGCGGAGAAAUUCCAAUCGAACCUGGAGAUAGCUGGUUCUCUCCGAAAUAGCUUUAGGGCUAGCCUCAUGUUGUGAGAGUCUUGGAGGUAGAGCACUGAUUGGACUAGGGGCCCCCAACGGGUUACCGAAUUCAGUCAAACUCCGAAUGCCAAAGACUUAUCCAUGGGAGUCAGACUGCGAGUGAUAAGAUCCGUAGUCAAAAGGGAAACAGCCCAGACCACCAGCUAAGGUCCCCAAGUAUACGUUAAGUGGAAAAGGAUGUGGAGUUGCUUAGACAACCAGGAUGUUGGCUUAGAAGCAGCCACCAUUUAAAGAGUGCGUAAUAGCUCACUGGUCGAGUGACUCUGCGCCGAAAAUGUACCGGGGCUAAACGUAUCACCGAAGCUGUGGAUUGACAUCUUUGAUGUCAGUGGUAGGAGAGCGUUCUAAGUGCUGUGAAGUCAGACCGUAAGGACUGGUGGAGCGCUUAGAAGUGAGAAUGCCGGUAUGAGUAGCGAAAGACAAGUGAGAAUCUUGUCCACCGAAUGCCUAAGGUUUCCUGAGGAAGGCUCGUCCGCUCAGGGUUAGUCGGGACCUAAGCCGAGGCUGAAAAGCGUAGGCGAUGGCCAACAGGUUGAUAUUCCUGUACCACCUCCCCGCCGUUUGAGUAAUGGGGGGACGCAGUAGGAUAGGGUAAGCGCGCUGCUGGAUAUGCGCGUUCAAGCAGUUAGGCUGAUGAGUAGGCAAAUCCGCUCAUCAUAAAGGCUGAGCUGUGAUGACGAGGGAAUUAUAGUACCGAAGUUCCUGAUUCCACACUGCCAAGAAAAGCCUCUAGCGAGGCGGGAGGUGCCCGUACCGCAAACCGACACAGGUAGGCGAGGAGAGAAUCCUAAGGUGAUCGAGAGAACUCUCGUUAAGGAACUCGGCAAAAUGACCCCGUAACUUCGGGAGAAGGGGUGCUCUGGUAGGGUGUAUAGCCCGAGAGAGCCGCAGUGAAUAGGCCCAGGCGACUGUUUAGCAAAAACACAGGUCUCUGCGAAGCCGCAAGGCGAAGUAUAGGGGCUGACGCCUGCCCGGUGCUGGAAGGUUAAGAGGAGGGGUUAUCCUUUGGGAGAAGCUCUGAAUCGAAGCCCCAGUAAACGGCGGCCGUAACUAUAACGGUCCUAAGGUAGCGAAAUUCCUUGUCGGGUAAGUUCCGACCCGCACGAAAGGCGUAACGAUCUGGGCACUGUCUCAACGAGAGACUCGGUGAAAUUAUAGUACCUGUGAAGAUGCAGGUUACCCGCGACAGGACGGAAAGACCCCGUGGAGCUUUACUGUAGCCUGAUAUUGAAUUUUGGUACAGCUUGUACAGGAUAGGUAGGAGCCUGAGAAACCGGAGCGCUAGCUUCGGUGGAGGCGUCGGUGGGAUACUACCCUGGCUGUAUUGAAAUUCUAACCCGCGGCCCUGAUCGGGCCGGGAGACAGUGUCAGGUGGGCAGUUUGACUGGGGCGGUCGCCUCCUAAAAUGUAACGGAGGCGCCCAAAGGUUCCCUCAGAAUGGUUGGAAAUCAUUCGUAGAGUGUAAAGGCACAAGGGAGCUUGACUGCGAGACCUACAAGUCGAGCAGGGACGAAAGUCGGGCUUAGUGAUCCGGUGGUUCCGCAUGGAAGGGCCAUCGCUCAACGGAUAAAAGCUACCCCGGGGAUAACAGGCUUAUCUCCCCCAAGAGUCCACAUCGACGGGGAGGUUUGGCACCUCGAUGUCGGCUCAUCGCAUCCUGGGGCUGUAGUCGGUCCCAAGGGUUGGGCUGUUCGCCCAUUAAAGCGGUACGCGAGCUGGGUUCAGAACGUCGUGAGACAGUUCGGUCCCUAUCCGUCGUGGGCGUAGGAAAUUUGAGAGGAGCUGUCCUUAGUACGAGAGGACCGGGAUGGACACACCGCUGGUGUACCAGUUGUCUUGCCAAAGGCAUCGCUGGGUAGCUAUGUGUGGACGGGAUAAGUGCUGAAAGCAUCUAAGCAUGAAGCCCCCCUCAAGAUGAGAUUUCCCAUAGCGCAAGCUAGUAAGAUCCCUGAAAGAUGAUCAGGUUGAUAGGUCAGAGGUGGAAGCGUGGCGACAUGUGUAGCUGACUGAUACUAAUCGAUCGAGGACUUAACCAA
rnacentral:rRNA from 1 species